GACGGAGGGUGCAAGCGUUAUCCGGAUUUACUGGGCGUAAAGCGUCCGCAGGUGGCACUUCAAGUCUGCUGUUAAAUACUAGGGCUUAACCCUGGAGCGGCAGUGGAAACUGAAGAGCUAGAGUUCGGUAGGGGUAGAGGGAAUUCCCAGUGUAGCGGUGAAAUGCGUAGAGAUUGGGAAGAACACCGGUGGCGAAAGCGCUCUGCUAGGCCGAAACUGACACUCAUGGACGAAAGCUAGGGGAGCGAAUGGG
rnacentral:rRNA from 1 species